rnacentral:rRNA from 1 species
CGGCGAUGUCCGAAUGGGGAAACCCAGUGCAAUUCGUUGCACUAUCGUUAACUGAAUACAUAGGUUAACGAGGCGAACCGGGGGAACUGAAACAUCUAAGUACCCCGAGGAAAAGAAAUCAACCGAGAUUCCCCCAGUAGCGGCGAGCGAACGGGGAGCAGCCCAGAGUCUGAAUCAGCUUGUGUGUUAGUGGAACGGUCUGGAAAGUCCGACGGUACAGGGUGAUAGUCCCGUACACCAAAAUGCACAGGUUGUGAACUCGAAGAGUAGGGCGGGACACGUGGUAUCCUGUCUGAAUAUGGGGGGACCAUCCUCCAAGGCUAAAUACUCCUGACUGACCGAUAGUGAACCAGUACCGUGAGGGAAAGGCGAAAAGAACCCCGGCGAGGGGAGUGAAAAAGAACCUGAAACCGUGUACGUACAAGCAGUGGGAGCACCUUCGGGUGUGACUGCGUACCUUUUGUAUAAUGGGUCAGCGACUUAUAUUCUGUAGCAAGGUUAACCGUAUAGGGGAGCCGCAGGGAAACCGAGUCUUAACUGGGCGUUAAGUUGCAGGGUAUAGACCCGAAACCCGGUGAUCUAGCCAUGGGCAGGUUGAAGGUUGGGUAACACUAACUGGAGGACCGAACCGACUAAUGUUGAAAAAUUAGCGGAUGACUUGUGGCUGGGGGUGAAAGGCCAAUCAAACCGGGAGAUAGCUGGUUCUCCCCGAAAGCUAUUUAGGUAGCGCCUCGUGAACUCAUCUUCGGGGGUAGAGCACUGUUUCGGCUAGGGGGUCAUCCCGACUUACCAACCCGAUGCAAACUACGAAUACCGAAGAAUGUUAUCACGGGAGACACACGGCGGGUGCUAACGUCCGUCGUGAAGAGGGAAACAACCCAGACCGCCAGCUAAGGUCCCAAAGUCAUGGUUAAGUGGGAAACGAUGUGGGAAGGCACAGACAGCCAGGAUGUUGGCUUAGAAGCAGCCAUCAUUUAAAGAAAGCGUAAUAGCUCACUGGUCGAGUCGGCCUGCGCGGAAGAUGUAACGGGGCUAAACCAUGCACCGAAGCUGCGGCAGCGACACGAUGUGUUGUUGGGUAGGGGAGCGUUCUGUAAGCCUGCGAAGGUGACCUGUGAGGGUUGCUGGAGGUAUCAGAAGUGCGAAUGCUGACAUAAGUAACGAUAAAGCGGGUGAAAAGCCCGCUCGCCGGAAGACCAAGGGUUCCUGUCCAACGUUAAUCGGGGCAGGGUGAGUCGACCCCUAAGGCGAGGCCGAAAGGCGUAGUCGAUGGGAAACAGGUUAAUAUUCCUGUACUUGGUGUUACUGCGAAGGGGGGACGGAGAAGGCUAUGUUAGCCGGGCGACGGUUGUCCCGGUUUAAGCAUGUAGGCUGAUUAUCCAGGCAAAUCCGGAUAAUCAAGGCUGAGGUGUGAUGACGAGGUACUACGGUNCUGAAGUAACAAAUGCCCUGCUUCCAGGAAAAGCCUCUAAGCAUCAGGUAACAUCAAAUCGUACCCCAAACCGACACAGGUGGUCAGGUAGAGAAUACCAAGGCGCUUGAGAGAACUCGGGUGAAGGAACUAGGCAAAAUGGUGCCGUAACUUCGGGAGAAGGCACGCUGGUGUGUAGGUGAAGUCCCUGCGGAUGGAGCUGAGACCAGUCGAAGAUACCAGCUGGCUGCAACUGUUUAUUAAAAACACAGCACUGUGCAAACACGAAAGUGGACGUAUACGGUGUGACGCCUGCCCGGUGCCGGAAGGUUAAUUGAUGGGGUUAUCCGUAAGGAGAAGCUCUUGAUCGAAGCCCCGGUAAACGGCGGCCGUAACUAUAACGGUCCUAAGGUAGCGAAAUUCCUUGUCGGGUAAGUUCCGACCUGCACGAAUGGCGUAAUGAUGGCCAGGCUGUCUCCACCCGAGACUCAGUGAAAUUGAACUCGCUGUGAAGAUGCAGUGUACCCGCGGCAAGACGGAAAGACCCCGUGAACCUUUACUAUAGCUUGACACUGAACAUUGAGCCUUGAUGUGUAGGAUAGGUGGGAGGCUUUGAAGCGUGGACGCCAGUCUGCGUGGAGCCAACCUUGAAAUACCACCCUUUAAUGUUUGAUGUUCUAACGUGGGCCCCUAAUCGGGGUUGCGGACAGUGUCUGGUGGGUAGUUUGACUGGGGCGGUCUCCUCCCAAAGCGUAACGGAGGAGCACGAAGGUUAGCUAAUCCUGGUCGGACAUCAGGAGGUUAGUGCAAUGGCAUAAGCUAGCUUGACUGCGAGCGUGACGGCGCGAGCAGGUGCGAAAGCAGGUCAUAGUGAUCCGGUGGUUCUGAAUGGAAGGGCCAUCGCUCAACGGAUAAAAGGUACUCCGGGGAUAACAGGCUGAUACCGCCCAAGAGUUCAUAUCGACGGCGGUGUUUGGCACCUCGAUGUCGGCUCAUCACAUCCUGGGGCUGAAGUAGGUCCCAAGGGUAUGGCUGUUCGCCAUUUAAAGUGGUACGCGAGCUGGGUUUAGAACGUCGUGAGACAGUUCGGUCCCUAUCUGCCGUGGGCGCUGGAGAAUUGAGGGGGGCUGCUCCUAGUACGAGAGGACCGGAGUGGACGCAUCACUGGUGUUCGGGUUGUCAUGCCAAUGGCACUGCCCGGUAGCUAAAUGCGGAAGAGAUAAGUGCUGAAAGCAUCUAAGCACGAAACUUGCCCCGAGAUGAGUUCUCCCUGAGACUUUAAGUCUCCUGAAGGAACGUUGAAGACGACGACGUUGAUAGGCCGGGUGUGUAAGCGCAGCGAUGCGUUGAGCUAACCGGUACUAAUGAACCGUGAGGCUUAACCUU